rnacentral:misc_RNA from 1 species
ACAAAGAAAGUGCAGGACCUCAAGUAAGACACUGACGCAUAAGCAAAUAAUUAUAUGUCAUUAAUACGCAUUAUCCUGUAAUUGUCAGCGAAUAGACAGUGCAUGAAUAUCUGAAUCAGCAGACAGCUUUGGAAAUCUAGAUUUCGCUUUAUUGCAUGAUCAAAUCAUCAAAUACGUGGAUUUGUUCCAGUCUGUGGACAGAAUUCACAGCGGGAAAAUCUCGCUCGAGUCUCUACAGGAAGUGCUGUCGGCGGCCCUAGAAACGGAUCUCGCAGCAGACGACACCAACUGGAACAAGAUCCUUGAAACUGUGGACCCUGACGAAGGCGCAAAAAUUAGCAAGAUUGAGUUCCUAGCACACAUUCCAUAUUUUCUGAGUUUGAAACUAAAGCCUGGACCUGGUGCGUUGCCUCAUAGUCAGCGAUUCCAGUAAGUGCAGGCACAACUACAGUACAUAUUUUACCAAUUCAAUCCAUUUAGUCGGAUUGACCAUGUAUUCAUUAAAUUUAAGCAUCCGAAACGUGUACCAUUCGAAAUACUUAUUUAUACUUAUUGAUUUGUGUUUAAAUUAUGCGUAAUAUUAAACUGAGAUGUGAUAGAGAAGUUUUAAUUGGUGAAAUCAAAAGUUUUUCACGUUAUAUUUGAAUCACAGCGGAAAUAUGCAUUUGUCGUGUAGUAAAUCUUGAAUUAUUGUAUGGACACUUUUGACGCUAUAAACUACAAUAAUUAUGUGUGUUAAAUGUUCAUUCCAUUUAAGCUGUAGGUUUCAACGAUUCAUCGAAGCUAACCUGUGAUAUCAAACAAACCGUCUUUUGUACAUGUUUAUAGAUAUAUAAUAAGUGCUGUAACUCUGUGUGAAUUUGUAUAUAGGUUUAUUUAUAUUUUUGUAUGUACGUUAUUUCAUGAUGUACAUGUAUAAAACCAUGUUUAUCUCUCUCUGUGAGAAAUAAAGUUUUACUACAAUGUU